UACGUAGGGACCAAGCGUUGUUCGGAUUUACUGGGCGUAAAGGGCGCGUAGGCGGCGUGUUAAGUCAGCUGUGAAAUCUCCGAGCUUAACUCGGAACGGUCAGCUGAUACUGAUGUGCUAGAGUGCAGAAGGGGCAAUCGGAAUUCUUGGUGUAGCGGUGAAAUGCGUAGAUAUCAAGAGGAACACCUGAGGUGAAGACGGGUUGCUGGGCUGACACUGACGCUGAGGCGCGACAGCGUGGGGAGCAAACAGG
rnacentral:rRNA from 1 species